rnacentral:rRNA from 1 species
AACGAACGCUGGCGGCAUGCCUAACACAUGCAAGUCGAACGAGACCUUCGGGUCUAGUGGCGCACGGGUGCGUAACGCGUUGGAAACUGCCCUUAGGUUCGGAAUAACUCCCCGAAAGGGGUGCUAAUACCGGAUAAUGUCCUCCGACCAAAGAUUUAUUGCCUUUGGAUGGGCCCGCGUUGGAUUAGCUAGUUGGUAGGGUAAAAGCCUACCAAGGCGACGAUCCAUAGCUGGUCUGAGAGGAUGAUCAGCCACACUGGGAGUGGGACACGGCCGAGACUCUUGCGAGAGGCCGCAGGGGGGAAUAUUGGACAACGGGCGCAAGCCUGAUCCAGUAAGGCCGCGUGCGUGAUGAAGGCGUUAGGAAUGUACAGCGCUUUUUCCCGGGAUGAUAAUGACGGAACCGGGAGAAUAAGCUCCGGCUAACUCCGU